rnacentral:rRNA from 1 species
UACGUAGGGGGCUAGCGUUGUCCGGAUUUAUUGGGCGUAAAGAGCGUGUAGGCGGCCAGGUAGGUCUGCUGUGAAAACUCGAGGCUCAACCUCGAGACGUCGGCGGAAACCAUCUGGCUAGAGUCCGGAAGAGGAGAGUGGAAUUCCUGGUGUAGCGGUGAAAUGCGCAGAUAUCAGGAAGAACACCCGUGGCGAAGGCGGCUCUCUGGGACGGUACUGACACUGAGGAGCGAAAGCGUGGGGAGCGAACAGG